CGACCAGGGCCCUCUUUGUC
rnacentral:miRNA from 1 species